AACGAACGCUGGCGGCAUGCCUAACACAUGCAAGUCGAACGAGACCUUCGGGUCUAGUGGCGCACGGGUUCGUAACGCGUGGGAACCUGCCCUUAGGUUCGGAAUAACUCCCCGAAAGGGGUGCUAAUACCGGAUAAUGUCUUCGGACCAAAGAUUUAUCGCCUUUGGAUGGGCCCGCGUUGGAUUAGCUAGUUGGUAGGGUAAAAGCCUACCAAGGCGACGAUCCAUAGCUGGUCUGAGAGGAUGAUCAGCCACACUGGGACUGAGACACGGCCCAGACUCCUACGGGAGGCAGCAGUGGGGAAUAUUGGACAAUGGGCGGAAGCAUGAUCCAGCAAUGCCGCGUGAGUGGUGAAGGCCUUAGGGUUGUAAAGCUCUUUUACCCGGGAUGAUAAUGACAGUACCGGGAGAAUAAGCUCCGGCUAACUCCGUG
rnacentral:rRNA from 1 species